GACAGAGGGUGCGAACGUUGUUCGGAAUUACUGGGCGUAAAGGGCUCGUAGGCGGCCAACUAAGUCAGACGUGAAAUCCCUCAGCUUAACUGGGGAACUGCGUCUGAUACUGGAUGGCUUGGAUUCGGGAGAGGAAUGCGGAAUUCCAGGUGUAGCGGUGAAAUGCGUAGAUAUCUGGAGGAACACCGGUGGCGAAGGCGGCAUUCUGGACCGAUAUUGACGCUGAGGAGCGAAAGCCAGGGGAGCAAACGGG
rnacentral:rRNA from 1 species